GAUAGGUACCAGUUGACCAAAAAACGGGUAUAAGUUGACCAAAAUGGGUUUGAGUUGACCACAGUACGGGUUGAACAGUUACCUAACAGGUGUCUUCAAACAGACACAUUUAAUGAAGAUUUUUCUUUUAUACGCUUAAAUGGCAGAUCGAUCUUGUUUUUCUUUGCAUCUAAAAUGUGUAGCUCAGUGACUCAGUUAAUGUUUACGGUUUGUAACUCAGGGGUCCUGGGUUCGAUUCUCACAUGCGGUGCUGAUUUUUUUCCAAAGGAGUUUCCUCUGGCGAGACUGCAGAGCCCUAGCCUAGUACUGGUGAAACCCAGGAAGCAUAAUUAAGUGAAUCUUUGCCUUAAUAUAUGAGCUAACAGCAAAGAACAGCUGCUCUUUUAAGGCAGGCAGCAGAAUUGUUGAAUGUCAACACAAGUGACAGGAGUACACAAUACCAGCACCUGCAUCAAUAACCUCUGUCAGAAGCACUAGUGCUGCAAAGACAAUUUUUGCUCCCGACAGUAAAAGAAGGAGGCAUGGACAUGCAAAUACAGGAACUGUGGCAGUGCCAGCACUAGACUAUUAUACCCAGGAGUAAUAAGUAAAUGCAGGUCCCUGGUUACAACUAAUGACCACCUGUUGAAGGAGCUAGAUGAGACCCGGGAGAGACACCAGCACAGAGGUGAAUCAGAUUAACUGGAGCUACAAGCAGCUCAAGAAAAACCUUCAGAGACCAGUCUAAAUGUUCUGAUAAUGAUAAUAGAAUAUGCUUUGUGUUUUAGUGCUAAGAAUUUGGCUGCUCUGUAUUCAAUAUCUGAAGUGGUAUUUUAUUAAGAUUUAGAAAAAAAUAAAGAUUUAUGCAUGUGGGUGAAGUGUCGUCCCAGAUUAGCUUAUGUUGUCCACACAUUAUUAUCUGGGACAACACUUUCGGCCUAGACUGGAUUUUUUUAAAUACUUUCUUUAAACGAAAAAUCUCAUAAAACCAGAAAGUGUCUUCCCUGAUUAGCCUGUGCGGACCGUACAAGUUAAUCUGUGACGGCACUUUAGGAACAUGCAUUAAACCCCAUUUUCCCAGAGUAUAGGUCAAUUGUAUUUAUUUCCUUUUAAUAUUCACAUCCCCUUUCUUUUAGGAUCAUACAGAUUCUAAAUGCCUAUUUAUUCAGUCAUAACCAAAAAGUGUUAUAAGAUCUUUGUUAAGACAGGACCCUGAAUUCUAGCAUUUA